rnacentral:rRNA from 1 species
UACGUAGGGGGCUAGCGUUGUCCGGAUUUAUUGGGCGUAAAGAGCGUGUAGGCGGCCAGAUAAGUCCGCUGUGAAAUCUCGAGGCUCAACUUCGAGCUGUCGGUGGAAACUAUCUGGCUAGAGUCCGGAAGAGGAGAAUGGAAUUCCUGGUGUAGCGGUGAAAUGCGCAGAUAUCAGGAAGAACACCCGUGGCUAAGGCGGUUCUCUAGUACGGUACUGACGCUGAGACGCGAAAGCGUGGGGAGCGAACAGG